UACGAAGGGGGCUAGCGUUGCUCGGAAUGACUGGGCGUAAAGGGCCCGUAGGCGGAUUGCUUUGUCGGGCGUGAAAUUCCAGGGCUUAACCUUGGGGCUGCGUUCGAGACGGGUGAUCUUGAGUUCGGAAGAGGGUCGUGGAAUUCCCAGUGUAGAGGUGAAAUUCGUAGAUAUUGGGAAGAACACCGGUGGCGAAGGCGGCGACCUGGUCCGAGACUGACGCUGAGGCGCGAAAGCGUGGGGAGCAAACAGG
rnacentral:rRNA from 1 species